rnacentral:rRNA from 1 species
GAUGAACGCUGGCGGCGUGCCUAAUACAUGCAAGUCGAGCGAAUGGAUUAAGAGCUUGCUCUUAUGAAGUUAGCGGCGGACGGGUGAGUAACACGUGGGUAACCUGCCCAUAAGACUGGGAUAACUCCGGGAAACCGGGGCUAAUACCGGAUAACAUUUUGAACCGCAUGGUUCGAAAUUGAAAGGCGGCUUCGGCUGUCACUUAUGGAUGGACCCGCGUCGCAUUAGCUAGUUGGUGAGGUAACGGCUCACCAAGGCAACGAUGCCUAGCCGGCCUGGGCGGGUGGUCCGGCACACGGGGGAUGAGGAACGGCCCAGACUCCGACGGGAGGCAGCAGUAGGGAAUCUUCCGCAAUGGACGAAAGUCUGACGGAGCAACGCCGCGUGAGUGAGGAAGGCUUUCGGGUCGUAAAACUCUGUUGUUAGGGAAGAACAAGUGCUAGUUGAAUAAGCUGACACCUUGACGGUACCUAACCAGAAAGCCACGGCUAACUACGUGCCAGCCGCCGCGGUAA